UACGUAGGGGGCUAGCGUUGUCCGGAAUCAUUGGGCGUAAAGAGCGUGUAGGCGGUCCGGUAAGUCCGCUGUGAAAGUCGGGGGCUCAACCCUCGAAUGCCGGUGGAUACUGCCGGGCUAGAGGGUGGUAGAGGCGAGUGGAAUUCCCGGUGUAGCGGUGAAAUGCGCAGAUGUCAGGAGGAACACCGAUGGCGAAGGCAGCUCGCUGGGACGGUACUGACGCUGAGGCGCGAAAGCGUGGGGAGCAAACAGG
rnacentral:rRNA from 1 species